rnacentral:rRNA from 1 species
UACGUAGGGGCAAGCGUUAUCCGGAUUUAUUGGGUUUAAAGGGUGCGCAGGCGGGGGAUUAAGUCGGCGGUGAAAUUUUGCAGCUCAACUGUAAAAGUGCCUUCGAAACUGGUUUCCUUGAGUGUAGAUGAAGUAGGCGGAAUUUGUGGUGUAGCGGUGAAAUGCAUAGAUAUCACGAGGAACUCCGAUUGCGCAGGCAGCUUACUAAACUACUACUGACGCUCAGGCACGAAGGCGUGGGGAUCAAACAGGAUUAGAUACCCUUGUAGUCCCUGA